rnacentral:lncRNA from 1 species
AGGACCAGUGUGUGGACCUUACAAGGCCGAUUGUGGAUGUUACUGAGUGGAGAGGUGGGUCCCCCGUCUCCCCCGUCUCCCCCGUCUCUGAUGGCAGUGGGGAGAACAGAAGCCCCUCCCUGACCCACAACACCCACAGCUCCCUCAACGCCCAGGAGGAGGAGCAGGAGCUGGCCUGCUUCCAAGAGCCCCCACAGGAGAAACUCCUCUCCGGCCUCAAGGGACACUCAACUAGUAAGGACAACUACCAUGUCUGGGGUGUAGGAGAAAUUAAGUGAAAGACAGCCUUUUUAUAUAUUUCUGUGUGUGUUUGUGUGUGUUUCUCUCUCUCUCCCUCUCCCUCUCUCUCCCUCUCCCUCUCUCUGUCUCUCUGUGUCUCUCUCUCUCUCUCUCUCUCUCUCCCUCUCUCUCUCUCUCCCUCUCUCUCUCCCUCUCUCCCUCUCCCUCUCUCUCUCUCUGUUUGCAAUGUUCUAUGGCAUGCUGUUGUUGCUAGUGGCUAAUGGUGGUUGCUAGUGGCUAAUGGUGGUUGUAGAAAUGGCGGUUAACUUCCUCGCUGAUGACUAAACUCCAGUAAUAUACCACGCCGGACUUAAUGGUAGUUCAGGAAAUGAUUUGACACGGCUGAUGUUAGUCACUGUUGUUGUGCUUGUAGUGCCCAUAGUAAUGUGUCAGUUGGUGAUGUGGUAUUCCUUGUCAGAUGACAAUGGGGUGGCCUCGGGACGGAAUGGCCAGACUCAGGCCUCAGAUAAUGAGGUGUGCUGUGGCUCCUCCGAACAUCCCGCUCCAGAGGAAGGUGCUGCAGUUCCCAGGAUCCCGCUGGCAAAGCCUGAAGGAGGCCGAGCCAGAAGGCAGAAUCCACAGGGAGGGACCAAGGCCGUUCAGUGUGGGAAUCGCAGUCCCCCCUGCACUGAGGCACAUGGUACAGUCCGGCCAGACCAGAGCUCAGACCAGAUGGAAGGUAGUAGCUCACUUGGAACAGAACUGUGUUGCCAUGGAGAGGGAGACUACACAGACACUCAGAGGAGCAAGGCUGUUGCCAUUGGAAAUAUAAACAAGGAUAUCACCAUGGUGCUCACGUGUCUACAGGCAGACAUGCAUGAUGUGCUGCAGAGAUUGAACACUCUUGAGGCCCUGAGCGCGUCACAGGUAAGAAAGUUUGUAAAAAAAAUCACUUAAGCAGUGAAAGUAUACUACAAAACAAUGACCACCUCAUGAGUGACAUCAGUGACCACCUCAUGAGAGACCACAUGAGUUUAAUUCAAAUAGCUAUGUUUGAGAGUAUGAGGCCAUUCCAUACCCUGGUUUCCAUCACUGGAGAAUGGUCUAUACUUUUAACCACAUCACAGCAGACAUUUUUAAAUAUAUAUAUCAUGGUCUAAAAGACUGGCCACAGGUGGGAGCCAUUAAAUAUAUCUUGAACAAAGCCAAAAUACUGACAACCUUACAGGAGAAAGGUGGCAAGAUGACUUAAAACAAUCAUUAAAAAACCAGACCAGGUUUUUGUGUAUUUGAAAAGACAUCCGUGCCCCGUGUUUUGUUUUUAUUCUCUUGUACUGUUAAUGUCAUUAUCAUGUAUGUCAUUCCUAUUCUAAAUAACAUCAGAUGCCAAUUAACAUAUUAAUUGUUUGCUUAUUUUUCAGAUGAAGUCCUUAGUGCUCAGAAAGGAACAACUUAUGAAUGAAACCAAAAAGGUAACAUUGUAUAAAAGAGCAGUACUACAGUAUGCCCUUUCUUGUGUUUGAUGAACUGAUGAGGGGAGAACCCUCACUUUUUUAAACUGACAUUGUUUAACCAUUGCAUACAUCUACUAUAGGAUGGCAGUAAGAACUCCUGAGGAAGUUAUUGUUGUCCUUGCAAUUAUGUUGUAAUUUUACAGUGCUCUCUUACUGCGAAAGAUCAUUUUAGAGAUGCAUGUAGUAAAUGCUCUGUCAGACAGUAAAUUAGGUGUUUUUACGUUUGUUGUAGAUGACAUCAUGGUGGCCCCUCAGCCUGUCUCCACUCACUGUGUCUCUUGCUGUGGCCUGGCCUGUCUUGGUUCAUUGGAUUGUGGACUUCUACCUCCAGCGGAGGAGAAAGUAAGUGUUCCUCUCUUUCUUUGUGCAUCAGUAUCAAGUGUGUGUGUGUGUGUGUGUGUGUGUGUGUGUGUGUGUGUGUGUGUGUGGUGUGUGCAGCCAUGCAGGUGUACUGGUGUGAGUGUGUGUGUGUUUCUGAGACCUGACUUAAUUCACAUUUUUUUCUACACUUUCUUUAUUAGGCAGCUGCACUGAGGAGUACAUGAGUCCACUGUGUCAGUAUCGGAUAAAGGCCCUGACCUCUACAACAAGUAGUCUUUGGUUAUUGCCAGUCACAAGCUGAUGCCUGUCAUCUGCACUGUCUGUGAGGAAAAAUAGGUGAAACAGGUGACAUAGUAGCCUGACGAUGUCAUACUCAUAAUUCUAGUCAGAAUAUGAGUCUGAUAUCGCUCCAUUGGGCUGUGAUUAUGGAGCGUGUUUCAACCGAACCAGGAGAAAAAAUGCCUCUUCGCUUAAUUGGUUACCUACAACCAAUCAGAACAACGUAGUAUGUGACCAGGGGCAGCUGAUACAUUACACUUUUACCGGAUCCCGUAGGAAGGAAGGCAAAAACAUCUUUUCGAUUGACAAAUGCCUUAAUCGCGUUUCUCUGUUCCUCUUUCAAAAUGAAUGCACUGUCAAUGUCUAAAUGGACUCGAAUCUAUACAUUUCAGCUCUCCAGCGGCAGCCAUGUUUGUUGAAAACGAAUUCAACUCGUGUGUUGGUGACGUGGUUGGUUACGUUACUGUUGAUCAUCCGUCCAUCAUCGUAUAAAGCCCGCCUUAACAAUUUGAUUGGUACGGCCGAUAUCGAGCCGCAGAUAAUUUCUCCUCAAUGGAGUAAUGCCAGACCGAACUUCCCAACCAAAAAAUGUGUGGGCGGGGCUAAGUUCGGUCUGGUAUCCAGGCUAGUGACAUAGUACUCUAUACCAGAAUGCUGUCCAAGCCCAGUUCACACUGUAUUCUUCUUAACUCACAUGGUAGAGCAGGAGACAGGCUGUUCUUUUGGGUUGUUUUCUGUUAUGUUCUGUAUCUGUUUUAAUAUAAGCUGCUGCAAGGGACCAGCACUUUAACUGAUAAACUCUCUAACACUAUCAUUAUGCUCUUAAAAUGAUGUCUAGAUACACCUUAUUGGUAUUGUAAGGCUGAAAGACCUCAGGUUAUGAGCAUAACACGUUGCACAUACACUGAUGGCUGCACUACGGCCCUAACUCAGUUACAAGAUGGACAGGUUCUGUACAGACAAUAUUCAUAAAUCAACAUGGGAAAACUUACUGAUGUGAUUUUUUAAACAUGUUUAUUCUGGAUGUAUUAAUUGUGUGUUUAGGGCCAGUGCUGAUACAUAUUGCUUAAAGUACAAGCACACACUGUUUAAAAUGUAUUUACAAUGUGUUUGUCUCUUUGUUUACUGAAAAUAUAAAUAAUACUAUACAUUUACCUAUCUAGUUUUUCAAUCCGAAACGUGGGGCAGUUUUAAAGGAUGUAGACAACUUACAUCCAUUGCCGGUCUGUAUUGUUGCACAACAAUGCCAAAAAGACUUAAGUUUUAUGUUUCAUUCAAAUAUAUUUAUACUAGCUAUUUUGUAUGAUAAAUGUUGGACGCUCAUAGUGGAAGGGAGUCUAAAGAAGCAUGGUGUUGACAUUGAAAUGUUCUUAUAAUUUUUGGUUUAUUUCAACUUAAAUGUUAUUUAACUGUCAGAAAAAACUGUACUUCGUUGGUUGCAGACUUAAUGAUACCUGGGGUUUAAAGGAAAAUGUGAUCCAGUAUUUCAUGUGAUACGUUACCCUUUGUAAUCAUGAAUAAAGUUAAUUUUGGAUACGCA